ACUUUAUUGCAGUACAAGUGGGAAGCGCGGGUGCCCAGGUGUAUGCACUUGUCCUUUUAUAAUGCUAGUGGUGCAUGCGCAGUGUUCAUAAUGCCGACUCACUCUACUGGCGCAUGCGUAGUGUUCCUAAUGCUUACUCAUGCUACUAGCGCACGCGUACAUUUACCUCUGACCAGGUGCAAGCUAUUGUGAACUUUGGCCUGAGCCCCACUUAAGGCUGCCGACAGACACAUAGGUCAGAAUCGAGAAAAAUUGCAGCUCGGAGUAUGUAUCCUAGAAGCUUUCAGAAACAAAACCAUAUUCCCCAGGGAGACCCCAAGAGGCUCUAGGCACGGAGGCAGCAGCUCACAGGUCAGAGGCUCACGACGUUAUGCAGAUGCUUCUGUAUUUGCCCACAGCUGGAGCUACCUGGAGAACUGCUUAAGCAAAGUAGGUUUGCCUGGGGAAUAUAGGGCUGCGGAGAGAGGCAGAGUAAAACCUAAUAAUAAGAGACAUGAAAAGAAAGUGUAUUGUGGAUGAAACUUGAGUGGAGAUAAAUCUGGACAACAUCUCAGGAGUGGGGAGAUAUUUGGGUACCAGAGCAGAUUGCUUAGAAGUAAGAAGAAAAGAAACCCUCCCCAGGCUGGAGAACAACUGGAAAGUCCAUAUCUAAAAAUAAACAAAGCAAACCAAUAAACACCCUCUAAUGUUACAUUUCCUCAGUGAGG